UAUUAAUUAUAUAGGUAGUAUUUAAAACCAAUAUGUAUUGGCAGUCUUUUUAUUUUAGAGAAACUCGCUUCAUUAUCGUAAAUACCCGUUAAAUUUAACUUUUAUUUAAACAGUUUAUAUACCGCCGUAUAGAAUUAUAACUAUAUAUAAAUUCUCAAUAUAAAUAUUAUAAAAAAUCAGGUCAAGGUGUAACCUAUAAUAAAGAGAAAGUAAGUUACACUAAAAAUAAUUUAAGGAAUGGAUAUAAACAACAAAAACCAAAAAGAAUUUAAAUGUACAUGAAAAUUAAAAAUUUACAUCGAAAAACACACAAAAGAUGC
rnacentral:rRNA from 1 species